rnacentral:lncRNA from 1 species
AGGUCCUGGAGCUCUCCUCUGCUAACCUGAACCAACCAGUCCAUUAAGCUGAGAGCUGCCCUGUCUGAAACACCAUUCCUCAAAUUCGGGCCUUCAGAAGACUCAACCAUCUGAAUUUGGAAUAUCACAAGUCCUGAGUCUGAACCUACUGAUGCUACAGGAGAGGUACUCCCCUUCUAUGAGCCUGACAGCUGUUUCUGUGCAGGCAUGGAACUCAUUUUGUGAACCACACUGGCCUGAAACUCAGAAAAUCCAAAUGUUUCUGCCUCCUGAGUGCUUGUUUUAGAGGUGUGCGGCAGCCAUCAACAGCUGAAGGUGGAUAUCACUUCAAGUGAUCCAGGGUAAAAUCAUGUACUAAAUUUAUAUGAUGGAAUAAAGAAAGCAUCUUCAACAAAUGUUUCUGGCAUAACUGGAUGCUGGCAAGUAGAAGACUGCAGAUAGAUCCAUGUCUAUCACCAUGCAUAAAAUAUUAUGGGAAAGGCACAGAUAUCCUGAAUAAUUUUGGAGCAUGGGGAAGAAGGUGGUUGGUAUGAGAAAGAAGAGGGGAGAAGAGGAGGUGAUAGGAGAACAUGAGGGAUCAGGAAGAUUGAUUCUGUGGAAGAAUAAAUUAGAGCAAGAAAAGAGAUACCUUAAUAGAGGCAUAAAUUAUAGGUUUAAUGAGAAAUAUGGUACUAGGCAAACGUCCAGGGAUCCACAAGGAAAAUCCCAGGUAACAAUCUAAGCAACAGUGGAGAAGCUACCUUAAAUGCACUUCCCCUAUAUUGUGAUUGAU